GACGGGUGAGUAACGCGUAGGAAUAUGCCUUAAAGAGGGGGAUAACUUGGGGAAACUCAAGCUAAUACCGCAUAAGCUCCAAGGAGUAAAGCUGGGGACCUUCGGGCCUGGCGCUUUAAGAAUAGCCUGCGUACGAUUAGCUAGUUGGUGGGGUAAAGGCCUACCAAGGCGACGAUCGUUAGCUGGUCUGAGAGGAUGGCCAGCCACACUGGGACUGAGACACGGCCCAGACUCC
rnacentral:rRNA from 1 species